rnacentral:rRNA from 1 species
UACGAAGGGUGCUAGCGUUGUUCGGAAUCACUGGGCGUAAAGCGCGCGUAGGCGGCGAUACAAGUCAGAGGUGAAAUCCCAGAGCUUAACUCUGGAACUGCCUUUGAAACUGUGUUGCUAGAGUACUGGAGGGGAGUGGGGAAUUCCUAAUGUAGAGGUGAAAUUCGUAGAUAUUAGGAGGAACACCGGUGGCGAAGGCGCCACUCUGGACAGUAACUGACGCUGAGGCGCGAAAGCGUGGGGAUCAAACAGG